rnacentral:rRNA from 1 species
UACAGAGGUCCCAAGCGUUGUUCGGAUUCACUGGGCGUAAAGGGUGCGUAGGCGGUCGGGUAAGUCUGAUGUGAAAUCUCACAGCUUAACUGUGAAACUGCAUUGGAUACUAUCUGGCUCGAGGAUCGGAGGGGAGACUGGAAUUCUUGGUGUAGCAGUGAAAUGCGUAGAUAUCAAGAGGAACACCAGUGGCGAAGGCGAGUCUCUGGACGAUUCCUGACACUGAGGCACGAAAGCUAGGGGAGCAAACAGG